rnacentral:rRNA from 1 species
CCUACGGGAGGCAGCAGUGAGGAAUAUUGGUCAAUGGGCGCAAGCCUGAACCAGCCAAGUAGCGUGAAGGAUGACUGCCCUACGGGUUGUAAACUUCUUUUAUGAAGGGAUAAAAUGAGGCACGUGUGCCUUUUUGUAUGUACUUUAUGAAUAAGGAUCGGCUAACUCCGUGCCAGCAGCCGCGGUAAUACGGAGGAUCCGAGCGUUAUCCGGAUUUAUUGGGUUUAAAGGGAGCGUAGAUGGGGUGUUAAGUCAGUUGUGAAAGUUUGCGGCUCAACCGUAGAAUUGCAAUGGAUACUGGCAGCCUUGAGUACAGUUGAGGUAGGCGGAAUUCGUGGUGUAGCGGUGAAAUGCUUAGAUAUCACGAAGAACUCCGAUUGCGAAGGCAGCUUACGAAACUGUCACUGACAUUGAUGCUCGAAAGUGUGGGUAUCAAACAGGAUUAGAUACCCGGGUAGUC